GAUGAACGCUAGCGGCGCGCCUUACACAUGCAAGUCGAACGGUAACAUGGAGAGCUUGCUCUCUGAUGACGAGUGGCAAACGGCUGAGUAACACGUAGGAAUUUUUUAUAGUGGGGGAUAGCCAGUCGAAAGAUUGGAUAAUACCGCAUGUGAUUUUCGAAUCAAAGCAGCAAUGCGCUAUAAGCGAAGCCUGCGUCCCCAUCAGGUAGUUGGUAAGGUAAUGGCUUACCAAGCCUUAGACGGGUAGCUGGUCUGAGAGGAUGAUCAGCCAGACUGGAACUGCGACACGGUCCAGACACCUACGGGUGGCAGCAGUGGGGAAUUUUGCUCAAUGGGGGAAACCCUGAAGCAGCGACGCCGC
rnacentral:rRNA from 1 species